AAUGCUAUAUCUUUGAAAAUUUGAAAAAAAAUGUUUUAGUGGACGACUAUAAAGUGAAAAAAAGUGAUUUACACUUUUACCAUACUUACCGUUCAGCUGGUGGCGUAUUGAAUGCUUACCAGAGUAAAUAUUAGUAAAAAAUUGCAUCGCGUGCAUUUUUUGAAAGGUUUACUUUGGCAAAAACGAGAGAAUUUGUGACUACUGUUACAUUAUUUUGGUGAUCAGAAGAUGUGGAUGCUUUGUGGGUAUAUCUGCAGCCCUCAGUCCAUGUUUUCAAAACAACAAUAGUGCUGCCUGACAUGAAAUAUCUUCAUCGCCUGGUAUUUUGCUGGAAAUAAAGAAAUAAACAGAGUCAACACUCUGUGAAAUCACCUGCAAACCCAAGAGGUUUCAGUAACUUAGCGAUGACAGUUAUACAUGACUCAAAGAUAAAACCUAAGCGAUCCUUGGAAUGAGGAAGCAUUGGACCACAUUGAGUGUGACAGCUUCAAGGUGUACUCGAGUCAGAGGAAGGAUUGAGUGUCAACAGAUACGCACAAGAAAAUUCUUAUCAGCAAUUUUUGGACAUAUCUCAUAAUACUGUUAUAGGUGCUCCGUACACAUGUGAUGGUUGUGGUAGAGUAUACAGGCACUGUAGGAGCCUCUGGAGUCACAUUAGACAUGAAUGUGGGAAAGAACCUCAAUUUCCAUGCCCUUAUUGCCCACUACGGUCCACAAAGAAGAAUAAUUUGCGUGUACAUGUGAGAAGGAAGCACAAGGGCUAUGUAGUCCCUUAACUAAUUAGUUAAUUAAUGAAAUAUGCUCUUAAUAUCAGUAAGAUAUGCCUUUCAUGCCUAUAAAUGUUCCUUUAUUUCAUACUGAUUGCUUUGAGUGGCAUAUACUUCGAAAUUGUUCAAUUAAUUUCAGCAUGACAACAGUGAAUCGUGAAUCUCCUUCAGUUAUUCAGCUGAUCCCAUGGAAGUUGAAUAUGUGAUUUAUUAAUUUAGCAGUAUAUUUUGAACUUGUUUUGUAUCUUGUAAUUGACAUGUUUAGUAUCAGAGUGCUGAAAGGAUAACCACAAUAGCAGAGACAUUUCAUUUGGUUUUGAAGGUGAGAACUAGAACAUGGAAGGAGAGAGAUUUGCUUUGAUAUGUUAUAGCAAAAGAUGAUUUGUGUUUGCUUGUAGACAUGUGUGUUGUUUUCAUCCCCAGCAAAAUUAUUUGUGUUUUACUAUGUGAAUCGGUGUAACUAGUUGCAGCUCUUAAAGAGAAAGUAAGAUUUUCAGCUGACAAGCUAACAAUUAGAAGACUGUGAUAGAAUGUACCAGACUAAACAAAACUGUUUAUAUAUGUCUCAGAGCGGAUGUCGUAAGGCACAAUGAAAAUUAGAUGGGAGAUAUACUUUUACUUAUAUACUUAUUUGCCCAAGAAUCAUCUCACAAUGAUAUAGGAUUUGUCAAAUAAUGAGUACAUAAAUAUGCUUUAUGAAGGUAUGACAGGUGACUGACCUUAAAAACCAAAGAUCAUUAAGAAAACAGAGCAGAAACUUAUGUUGGCUUGACAUAACAUUUCAUUUCAUGUCACAGUGCAUACUAAAAUAGAUAAAAAUGUACAAACACUGAAAGAUUUCUUUAAAUGAUUGUAUAGUUCAAGAAAUAAAAAAGGGCUCAGUUGCAAUUCCAAGCAGUCAGUAUACACUUGAGGUGACAAAAGAUAUGGGACAGCGAUAUCCACGUAUAGAGAUGGUGGCAGUACUGCGUACACAAGGCAUAAAGGGGGCAAUUCAUUGGCAGAACUGUCAUUUGUAAUCAGAUGAUUCAUGUGAAAAGGUUUCCGAUGUGAUUAUGACCCCACAGUGGGAAUUAUCAGGCUUUGGACGUGGAAUGAUAGUUGGAGCUAGAUGCAUGGGACAUUCCAUUUUGGAAAUCAUUAGAGGAUUCAAUAUUAAGAGAUCCACAGUGUCAAGAGCAUGCUGAGAAUAGCAGAUUUCAGGCACUACCUCUCAACUUGGACAGCACGCCGGCUGAUGGCCUUCACUUAAAGACCUAGAGGAGGGGAAUUUGCAUAAAGUUAUUGGUGCUUACAGACAGCACUACUUGACUACCACAUGACUUUGCUAACAGCAUAAUGUCACCUGCAAUACAUCACCUGGGUUCUUGACCAUAUCAGUUGGACCCUAGACUACUGGAAAACUGUGGCCUAGUAAGAUGAGACCUGAUUUCACUCUGUAAGAGCCAAUAGUAGGGUUUGAGUGCAGCACAGACCCCACAAAUCCAUGGACACAGGUUGCUACCAUUCUGGUGGUAGCUCCAUAAUGGUGUGAGCUGUGUUUACACGGAAUGGACUGGAUCCUCUGGACCAUCUGAACUGAUCAUUGACACAACUUCGAGACCAUUUGCAGCCAUAUAGAUGACAAAGUGCUGUGUCACCAUCCACAGUUGUUCAUGAUUAGUUUGAAGAAUAUUCUGGACAAUUCAAGUGAAUGAUUUGGCACCCAUAUCAGCCAACCUAAAUCCAAUCAAACAUUUAUGGGAUAUAAACUGUGGUCAUUUCCUGCACUGGCAACCCUUUCACAAUUAUGAACAGCUAUAUGAGGCAGCAUGGAUCAAUAUUUGGGCAGGGGACUUCCAACAACUUGAGUCCAUGCCAUAUUGAGUUGCUGCAAUAUGCUGGGCAAAAGGAUGCUCAACACAAUAUUAUCAGGUAUCCCAUCCCGUGACUUUUGUCACCUCAUUUUAUGUAGAUUUAUAGGCUCUAACCAAACAUUGCUACUGUUAACAUCUGGGACGAAAAGUGGGAACAUCUUUCAGGUAGAAAUGGGGAUUGCCUAAACAAAAUUGAUUUCGUGAUUUAUAUUUGUUUAUUAUUUAUUUUGUGUGUGUGUGUGGGGGGGGGGGGGGAGGAGUUUGUUUGUAAGAGUCUUGUAAAAUGCUGAGUAUUUUAUCUGUAUGCAGCAUGUUAUUAAUCAUUGGGGGGAGGGGGGGGGGGUCAUGUUGGUUAGAGUCUUUUGCAAAGACUAACCAGUAUUACUUAAAGGAUGCCACCUUUUCUUUUUUGAAAAUGAGCAUGACUUUAAAUGUAGUCAUUUUGUGUUAAGUCCAAUUUCAGCAAAGUGGUGCACAACUUAGCCAAUGAAACCAUUUGUUAGGAUGUUAUUUUUGCAAUUGUUCAGUGUUUUUGUGAUAUGAGGCAGAUACCAUUCAACAAAAUACACGAAAUUUAUCGUUCAGCUUGUGAAAUAUUCCUCAUUGAGAUUUUUAUGCUUCUUUAUUGAUGAUAUUGUAUUUUACAGACUAUAAGAUGCACUUUUUUCUUUGGAAAAUUGCUCCAAAUUUCAGAUGUAUCUUGUACUCUAAAUUAAUAUAAAAACGUUCAGUGUUUGAUUUAAAAUUACCCCAGUCUUAAAAAUGGCCAUAUAUUCAGUGCUGCAGGACUAUACCAUUGUCCUUUCAUGUUGUGCUGACAGUACUAAACUUAAUCCAGUGAUCAUUUUCAAGUGCAAAACAAUGCCAAAACCUUCUGAAAUUCUCCAGGUAUUGUUCUUCAUGUACAUUACAAGGGUUGGGUGGACAAGGCUGGUAGGGAAUUACGCAUUAACAGUGUGUGGAAGAGAAGUAAAGGUGCUUCUUUGAAGAAGAGUUCUCUUCUUGUACUAGAUCAGUUUAGUAGUCAUUUGAAAAAUUCUGUGGAUAAGACAGUUGUGGUCUAGAGUGAGAGAAGACAUUACUGUUAAGUCUUUCAAGAAGUACUUGGAAUCUAAUAAUAAUUUAUUUUUAAAUUGCUUGAAAAUGAAUGUUCGUCUUAUAGUCUGUAGCGUCUUAUAGUCCAUAAAAUACAUUAGUUUGUGUGCUCAUAUCACAUAUAUUUUAUGCUUUGUCAUUGAUAGCAGCAGGAAGGUACUACCAAAUUUUGAACUGGAAUAUCAGUCCUCUUUGAACAAUUCUGUAGAUAAGUGAUUCCUGUACAUAUUAAAUGUAUUGUUUCUACCGAGGUAUAAAAACACCAUUGAAAUUUAUCAUCAUAUGACAUUUAUAGACAAAACAUCAAUUUUACUGACUACCUUUUUUUUCAAAAGGAAGAUGUAAUUCAGUUACCACAUUAUCUGUACCCAAAGAAUAAGAUUUGUGGAGUCUGUUUCUUUUUCUAUUUAUUAUUUUUUUUAAUCUGUGGUACAGAAAACAAAAGUAAUUAAAAUAAAGUGCUUUGUAAAUUAA